GAUGAACGCUGGCGGCGUGCAUAACACAUUCAAGUCGAACGGAGUUACUUGAACAAUCCUUCGGGUGCGUGAGAGUAACUUAGUGGCGGACGGGUGAGUAACGCGUGAGCAACCUGCCUCUGUAUGGGGAAUAACGUCGGGAAACUGACGCUAAUACCUCAUAACGCAUAAGGACCGCAUGAUCCAUAUGCCAAAGAUUUAUUGUACAGAGAUGGGCUCGCGUCUGAUUAGGUAGUUGGUGAGGUAACGGCCCGACCAAGCCGACGAUCAGUAGCCGGACUGAGAGGUUGAACGGCCACAUUGGAACUGAGAUACGGUCCAGACUCCUACGGGAGGCAGCAGUGGGGAAUAUUGCACAAUGGGGGAAACCCUGAUGCAGCGACGCCGCGUGAGUGAAGAAGUAUUUCGGUAUGUAAAGCUCUAUCAGCAGGGAAGAAAUGACGGUACCUGACUAAGAAGCCCCGGCUAACUACGUGCCAGCAGCCGACGG
rnacentral:rRNA from 1 species